CCCUCAUCCUCUUCUUAUCGAUCCCCUCUCAUCACCCAAACCCUAACUCAUAUCCCCUCCAUUCCCCCGCCUCCCCUUGUCUCCCUCUCCCCGAUCCAGAUUGACAAUGCCAGCUCCCUCUCUCCCUCGCCUGCAGGUCCCUCCACCGCUGUCCCUCCUACCCCAGCACCGGCCAUCCUCCCUUCUGCCACCUUCUCAUGUCCCAGUCACUCGCCUUUGUCCUCCUGCUGCCGAUCGAGCGCGCCGCCCAACCUCACCAGCGACAUAUGCACUGCCGCCAGCAGGCACGGCGUCGCGGUCAGCCGGCUCGUCGGCGUGCGCAUGCUUCAACGCACGCUGCUCCAUCGAGCUGGCCGGACCACGGCGACGCGUGACCUAGGGUUUGUGGUUGCUUUGACCCACGCCGGCCACGACUCUUCGGCAACCAGGACGGCAACGGCAUCAACGGGAUCCUCGAACGGCUGUCGUCCACCUCGCGCUGCAGGGAGGGGUCUGUUGUCUCCUCGCACGAGGGGACGGCCGUGUUCGUCGUUCCCCACCCUGGCAGUUGAUCCUGGCCGCCGUUGCUUCACUAGCCUCUUCCGACGGCGUCUCCGUGAGGGCGCUCGACCCCAGGUAGGCCAUGGAAGCGCCGGACCUCAAGGCCGGCCAUGCUGCUCCUGCUCCGGCUGUGCUCUUGCUUCGGCUGAGCACACCCAUAAGUAUAUUUAUAUAAGAAUAUUUUUGUGAGAAAUAUGUGUCAUUUCAACGCUCUUUUGUGUGAUUUAGGCAUUCUGUAAUUAACUUGUCAAAGAUUAAAAAUUGGGUAUGUCUAUGCCAUAUGCUCCCUGUUGUUGGGACACUAUGAUAUUGUCAUUUUUAUUUUCAUGUUAGCCUGGUGAACCUUAUCAUAUGAACUGUUGUACUAGAUGGUUUCUAGGUGUAUAUCUAUGGAUGCACUCAAUAGCUAGUAUGUAAUGUUUAAUGUUUUUUGUGACUUUGCCAUGGAUAGUUAGCAUCGGAAUUUUUUGGUGCACAAAUGUUCACAUUGCCUCAAGGGUGUAUAUUUUACUGUAUCAGAACAACUGUAUGCUUCCCUCAUUGAUGCUAUUACAGAUAAUAUAUUUGAGUACACUAAUUCCAGAGGGGUCGUGCCUGAGGAGACCGAGCUCGCCGUGCUGCUCCUUUUCAAUGUCAACAAGGGAAUGGCCGACGAGGAUAACAGGGUCCCUGCACCAACAGGUAACUGGCACAGCCGCUGUAACAUGAGACGCUGGACUGGAUGAAGGAUCAUGAAGAGAACAACUACACAAUGUUGUGGAUGAACAGGAUGAUGGGAGGGUGAAUCAGAUCUAGGAGCACAUCGACUACGAGGUUUGCCGACACGACAAGUAUCGUAUGUGUGUCUACUCGUCCAACCUGGACGAAACACUUCUAUGAAUGCUUGAAGAGGAAGACAAUGGAGCCAUGUUGUUGUGCAACAGGCUAUGUUAUUCGUGAUACCAUUUUUCUGGGCUGUGUAAUCUUAGUUUGUGUGUGCUGGGAUAUUCAAAAAGCUAUCUGUGUAAUUUGAAUCUUUGUUAUGUUGUCUGGCCUCUGUAAUCAUAUUUUGUGUGUGUUGGGAUAUUCAAAAAGCUAUCUGUCUAAUUUAAUCUGUGA